rnacentral:rRNA from 1 species
UACAGAGGUCUCAAGCGUUGUUCGGAUUCAUUGGGCGUAAAGCGUGCGCAGGCGGUGAUGUAAGACAGGUGUGAAAUUUCGAGGCUUAACCUCGAAACUGCAUUCGAUACUGCGGUGCUUGAGGACUGGAGAGGAGACUGGAAUUCAUGGUGUAGCAGUGAAAUGCGUAGAGAUCAUGAGGAAGACCAGUGGCGAAGGCGGGUCUCUGGACAGUUCCUGACACUGAGGCACGAAGGCCAGGGGAGCAAACGGG